rnacentral:siRNA from 1 species
AAUUUCCAAACCCUUGCAGCAUCU